rnacentral:rRNA from 1 species
UCGAGAAUCUUCCACAAUGGACGAAAGUCUGAUGGAGCGACGCCGCGUGAUUGAUGAAGCCCCUCUGGGGCGUAAAGAUCUUUUAUAGGGGAAGAAGUUUAUUGACGGUACCUUAUGAAUAAGAGGCUCCUAAUCUCGUGCCAGCAGGAGCGGUAAUACGAGAGCCUCGAGCGUUAUCCGGAAUUAUUGGGCGUAAAGGGUGCGUAGGUUGUUCUAUUAGUCUUUUGUCAAAACCACUGGCUUAACCAUUGGAUCGCAAAGGAAACGGUAGAACUUGAAAGUGCGAGGGGUGAAUGGAACUCAUGGUGUAGGGGUGAAAUCCGUUGAUAUCAUGGGGAACACCAAAAGCGAAGGCAAUUCACUGGCGCAUAUUUGACACUGAAGCACGAAAGCGUGGGUAGCGAAUGGG